rnacentral:rRNA from 2 species
CCGCGUGAGGGACGAAGGCUUUUGGGUCGUAAACCUCUUUUCUCAGGGAAGAUAAUGACGGUACCUGAGGAAUAAGCAUCGGCUAACUCUGUGCCAGCAGCCGCGGUAAUACAGAGGAUGCAAGCGUUAUCCGGAAUGAUUGGGCGUAAAGCGUCCGCAGGUGGUUUUAUAAGUCUGUUGUUAAAGCGUUAGGCUCAACCUAAUAAGGGCAAUGGAAACUAUUAAACUAGAGUACGUUCGGGGCAGAGGGAAUUCCCAGUGUAGCGGUGAAAUGCGUAGAGAUUGGGAAGAACACCGGUGGCGAAAGCGCUCUGCUAGGCCUGUACUGACACUGAGGGACGAAAGCUAGGGGAGCGAAUGGGAUUAGAUACCCCAGUAGUC